GUCACCAGAGCCAGAUGGGCAUACUCCUUCCUAAACCAACCACCCACUGUGGGCUCCAUCAAGGUUGAGCUUCUCCAGGAAGUGCCUAGGUGAAAGAGCUGAGAUCUUGAGGAGCAAGUCAUUCUCAGGUGAAAUGUCUAAGGUGUAAGGUAAGGAGUACAGAAAGGGCAACGAUUGUGAGAGAAAAGAGGUGGGAUGUUAAGCUCACUUUCAUCACUGAAUUCAAAUUUGGAGGAGUUUUACAGUCUUUAUAUUAUUUUGAUGGAAGGAAGAUUGAGUAGAAGCAAGCAUACAAGAUGGAAUAUGGAAGAAAAAAAACUUAAGCUAAUGAGAUACAGAAUAAUGUUAAAAUUAUAUGAAAUGCUUAACAUAAGAAACUACUAUUUAGGGAAAAUAUGACAUGUUUGCAGUUAGAAAUAAAAAUAUGUUACAUCUGCAGAUGACAGGAACCACUGCAAGGAGUAGAAUGUUUUGAUUCCAGUCACUGUAAUUCAGUUAGCCCCAGGGGUUCUUCUUGGCUCCAUCUAGUUUGCUAGGACACAUAAUUUUUCUUUGAGACUGCCAAGAAUUCUGCUUGAUUUUCAUUAUUCUAACAACAUAAACAAUAACAGGACGUUAUCAUUUAUUUAGCACUCCCUCUUUGACAAAGGCUGAGUGGAGAGCUUCCUUCAUACGUGAUUUCACUUAAUCCUCACAAUCACUUCAUGGGAGAGGUGCCAUUAUUACCUUAGUUUGCAGAUGAAAAAAGCAGACCUUUGAAAAAGUGUUAACUUUCUCAAGGUCAAAUAGCUGGUGAAUUCAAAGAUGAAUGGAUUCCUUCAUUGUCCCAGACACACUGACCUGGAAGGCAGUUACAGACUUUAACUGAUGGUUUACCUACUUAAAUUGAGACAUAGAGCCUGAAAUGUAAAGUGAUUUUGCUAACACUAUGGCAGACAAAGAAAACAUAGCCUAGCAAUCAAAAGAAAUUUCAAAGUAGCUCAGGUUCUAUAUUUGAGCAAUGCUUCUUUAAAAUCCCAUUUCUCCCCUAGCCCUUCCUUCCCAACCUGUGGCCGCUUUGGUCCUUUCUCACCCUAACUCUCCUAAAAGACUCCUUUCUCAGUCCUAGCCAUCUGCUCCUCUAGCCCUUUCCCUUCUCUUCUCUCAUUCAGACUUUUCACCAUUCUCUUGAUUGGGAAUCAAAAAAAGCCAACUCUGCAGGACAUCUGUGAGAAGAUAGAUAUAUCACCUUGAGACAGAACAUCACCUCCUGGCACCAGACACACUGCUUGAUAGGCUGAGCACAUGCUGAUACUCAGGACCACUUCCCCCUUACACCAGGUGCCUUUGGAAACCAACCCUCAGGCAAAAACUGCAACUCCUCAAAUCCAGACAAUGAGAAGCCAGGCCCCUCAUCCAUCUUGAUUGCUUUCUUACUUGUUUCUGAUUCCUGUUUUCCCUGAACAUAGCUAUAUUCCUUCCCUACCAUAUAAACCCCAAAUUUAGUCAAGUGGGAGAGACAAAUUUGAGGUUUGGCUCUCACUUCUUCAGCUGAAGUCCCCCAAAUAAAAAGCCUUCUUCCCUGGC